UACGUAGGUGGCAAGCGUUGUCCGGAAUUAUUGGGCGUAAAGCGCGCGCAGGCGGUCCUUUAAGUCUGAUGUGAAAGCCCACGGCUCAACCGUGGAGGGUCAUUGGAAACUGGGGAACUUGAGUGCAGAAGAGGAAAGUGGAAUUCCAAGUGUAGCGGUGAAAUGCGUAGAUAUUGGGAAGAACACCGGUGGCGAAGGCGGCGACCUGGUCCGUGACUGACGCUGAGGCGCGAAAGCGUGGGGAGCAAACAGG
rnacentral:rRNA from 1 species